UUACGGGAGGCAGCAGUGGGGAAUUUUGGACAAUGGGGGCAACCCUGAUCCAGCCAUGCCGCGUGAGUGAAGAAGGCCUUCGGGUUGUAAAGCUCUUUCAGCCGGAAAGAAAACGCACGGGCUAAUACCCUGUGUGGAUGACGGUACCGGAAGAAGAAGCACCGGCUAACUACGUGCCAGCAGCCGCGGUAAUACGUAGGGUGCGAGCGUUAAUCGGAAUUACUGGGCGUAAAGCGUGCGCAGGCGGUUUCGUAAGACAGAUGUGAAAUCCCCGGGCUUAACCUGGGAACUGCAUUUGUGACUGCGAGACUAGAGUGCGGCAGAGGGGGGUAGAAUUCCACGUGUAGCAGUGAAAUGCGUAGAUAUGUGGAGGAAUACCGAUGGCGAAGGCAGCCCCCUGGGUCGACACUGACGCUCAUGCACGAAAGCGUGGGGAGCAAACAGGAUUAGAUACCCUGGU
rnacentral:rRNA from 1 species